GUUGAAACAGCAGUUCCCAUAAGAUCACCGAAGUUAAGCAAUGUCGAGCCUGCUCAGUACCUAGCUGGGUAACCUCGUAACAAUAUCAGUUGCUGUAAG